rfam:Dictyocaulus viviparus strain HannoverDv2000 D_viviparus-1.0_Cont553.7, whole genome shotgun sequence.
GGCUCGGUAGUGCAAUGGAUCAGCACGGCAGACCGGAUAUCUGUAAUUGCGUGCUCGAGUCCCGCCUGAGGUU